rnacentral:rRNA from 1 species
GACGAACGCUGGCGGCGUGCUUAACACAUGCAAGUCGAACGGAAAGGCCCUGCUUUUGUGGGGUGCUCGAGUGGCGAACGGGUGAGUAACACGUGAGUAACCUGCCCUUGACUUUGGGAUAACUUCAGGAAACUGGGGCUAAUACCGGAUAGGAGCUCCUGCUGCAUGGUGGGGGUUGGAAAGUUUCGGCGGUUGGGGAUGGACUCGCGGCUUAUCAGCUUGUUGGUGGGGUAGUGGCUUACCAAGGCUUUGACGGGUAGCCGGCCUGAGAGGGUGACCGGCGACAAUGGGACUGAGAUACGGCCCAGACUCCUACGGGAGGCAGAAGUGGGGAAUAUUGCACAAUGGGCGGAAGCCUGAUGCAGCAACGCCGCGUGCGGGAUGACGGCCUUCGGGUUGUAAACCGCUUUCGCCUGUGACGAAGCGUGAGUGACGGUAAUGGGUAAAGAAGCACCGGCUAACUACGUG